UGUGGUGACCUGGGAAUCAAUGUGUGAGGUGGUGCUAUGUAGCAGGAACCCCUCUUGCUUUGCAAAUAGUUUUUUGUUUGUUUUCCUUUUUGCCCAAUAGAGCCCUGCUCUACUGACCCUUCAAUGUGCCCGUGUGCCUAAAUAUUCCUGGUCGUGUGAAAAGAACCCAGGUAUUAGCUGAACUAAGGAGCACAAUUCUGCAACAUUUUGGCACCCAAACACGGGGCUUGAGAAAUGAAUGCAAUUGGAGAAACUGGUUGUUUUACCAGGCGUUGAUUGGAAAUGUGUGCUUCCCUUUAAGCAGUCAAGCUCAACUUGCAGAACUGAUGGGAACCCCUUGGGAAAACUGGCCUCAAAUGUUUGUCUACACAGUCCACAUACAGGGUUCUUAACCUGCGUGGACUGGAGCCCAAAAUGCACACUGGAGGAAGUGGAUGGAGCCACGUGGAUGUCAUGCCUUAUGCAGGGGAGGAGCCUGCUCUCUUCAGCUCCUGUGGUAAUGUGGGAAUCGAUCUGUGAGAUUCCAUGAACUCCAAGUUAAGAACACAUGAUCUGGAUGUUUGACAAAAUACCUUCAGCAGGAAUAAUGAAAGCCCUGACAUUUCUGUGUGCAUAAAAACUGGAAAACUUUAAAAGUAAUAAAUCACCAAGUCUUUAUAAAAAUCGAUGAGUUAGGAAACACUUUCUGAAAAUGUCAGAACUCUUGAAAACAUGGAUGAGGAAAAGCAUAAGUACUGCUUUAUGCUUUUCUUAUGAAUUUUAAAAGAUGUAAUUUAAAGGUACUUUAAAGUGAUAUUUGUGCCCUUGUAACUGAUUCAAAGUAGACUGCUAAGGACAAUAAGUAAUAAGAGUCUACAAAUAUCAGUAAAUUAUGAGAAAAAACGGUCUAAUGG
rnacentral:lncRNA from 1 species